CUACCAACACGUCUACUGCACCACUAGGGGCGCAAAAACUCUAGACCGCUUUUAUUCUACCCACAUAAAGGCAUUCAAGGCCCUCCCUUGUCCUCUCUUUGGCACAUCUGACCAUGACUCCAUUCUCAUGCUUCCUGUUUACAAAAAAAGCUCAAACAAGAAGCACCAGUGAUGCGCUCAAUAUGAAAGUGGUCGGAUGAAGCAGACGAGGCUACAAGACUGUUUUGCUAGUACAGACUGGGAUUGUUCUGGGAUUCAUUCAUAAAGUCACAGGCUUUAUCAAUAAGUGCAUAGACGAUGUCACCCCCACAGUGACUAUAAGAACAUAUCCAAACGAAAAACCAUGGAUUACAGGUGAUAUCCGCGCUAAGCUAAAGGCUAGAGCUACCGCUUACAAGGAACGGGACACACAGUACAAGAAAGCCCACUACGACCUCCGACGAGACAUCAAACAUGCAAAAGGAAAAUAUAGGAGGAAGGUGGAAUCCUAUUACACUGGCUCCGACGCUCGUCGUAUGUUGCAGGGCUUGCAGACAAUAUAACACUGUGCCUUGCGUGAAAGCCCGUUUUUCUGGAUGACUGUGUGAUCACGCUCUCCGUGGCCAAUGUGAGCAAAACACUUAAACACAUUAACAAUCACGAAGGCUGUCGGGCCAGACGGAAUACCAGGGCACGUUCUCAAAGCAUGCGCAGACCAGCUGGCAAGUGUCUUCACAGACAUCUGUCCUUGUCCCGUCUUUAAUCCCAACAUGUUUCAAGCUGACCACCAUUGUCUCUGUUCCCAAGAGUUCCAAGGUAGCCUGCCUAAAUGACUAUCGCCCUGUAGCACUUACAUCUGUAAUUAUGAAGUGCUUUGAAAGGCUGGUCACAUCAACACCAUAAUCCCAGACACCCUAGACAGACUCCAAUUCGCAUACCGCCCCAACAGAUCCACAGAUGACGCUCUCAAUUGCACUUCACACUGCCCUCUUCCACCUGGACAAAUGGGGAAAUAACUACAUUAUGUUAGUAGGAUGUUAUUCAAUGGCAUAGUCCCCUCCAAGCUCAUACGGGGAGUUUGGCAAUGUCAGAGGGGAGACCUGAGCCAACUUCCCGUGCUUACCAUGGAGAGCUGUGGAGUGAACUGGAGCCAGUCAGAGAGUCGAGCGCGGAGUUCGACGCAAGAUUCCGGAGAGAGGUGCUGGCGUUAAGAGCGCUGCGGAGCGGGCGUGCUGAGGAGCGAGUGGAUUAAUGAGCACUGGGUUAUGGUGUGAUGCACACUAUAUCGCCCAUACGCACUCACAGCCCGGUGCGCUCGGUGCAAGCUCCUCACCGGUGUCGGGCUAAGAUGGGCAUUCAGCCAGGAAGGAGUAGGCCUGCUCAGCAUGCCUGGUCUCCAGUUCGCCUCCAUAGCCCAGUACGUCCUGUGCCUCCUUCCCGCACUCGCCCUGAGGUGACUGUUACCAGUCUGGCGCCACCUAGGCCAGUUCCACGCGUCAGACCUCCAGUGCACAUGCCCAGUCCGGAGUGUCCUGUUCCUGCUCCCUGCACUCGUCCUGAGGUGCGUGUUACCAGUCUGGCGCCACCCAUGCCAGUCCCACACAUCAGGAUUCCAGUGCACAUUCCCAGUCCAGAGCUUCCAACGACAGUUCCCCGUCCAGAGCUUCCGGCGACAGUUCCCCGUCCAGAGCUUCCGGCGACGUUUUUCAGUCCGGGACCUACUGAGACGGCCUACAGUCCGGAACCUACUUAGACUGCCUACAGCCCGGAA
rnacentral:lncRNA from 1 species